UUUGACGCAGCACAUAAUGGAGGGAAGCAAGGCUGUCAUGCUCGUGAUGGUUAUCCUCGCAUGUACCACAAUACUUUCUCAAUGCCAUACGAUUGAUCGGAUGGAUAGCAACAAGCUCUCAAUGUGCAUAUGUGGAAAUUUAACCUGCCGUAAUAAUUUGUGCUACUGCUGUGCAGACACACUAGAGCCUUGUUUUGCCACUAGGGAGCAAUGCAUCAUAGGUUGCGGCUGCAACCCUCCGGCACUGCCAUGAUGAACAUGUGUAGUUUCAUAUAUUCUGAUGAGAAAUAAUGUAAUGACAAUUUCUAAAUAAAAUGUAUGAGAUACAAUCGUUCAAUUUAGUUGCUUCAA